GGGGAUCGUAAGACCUUGCGCUAAAGGAGCGGCCGAUGUCUGAUUAGCUAGUUGGUGGGGUAAAGGCUUACCAAGGCAACGAUCAGUAGUUGGUCUGAGAGGACGGCCAACCACACUGGGACUGAGACACGGCCCAGACUCCUACGGGAGGCAGCAGUGGGGAAUUUUGGACAAUGGGCGAAAGCCUGAUCCAGCCAUGCCGCGUGAGUGAAGAAGGCCUUCGGGUUGUAAAGCUCUUUUAGUCGGAAAGAAAGGAUUGCAACGAAUAAUUGUGAUUUAUGACGGUACCGACAGAAAAAGCACCGGCUAACUACGUGCCAGCAGCCGCGGUAAUACGUAGGGUGCGAGCGUUAAUCGGAAUUACUGGGCGUAAAGGGUGCGCAGGCGGUUUUGCAAGUCAGAUGUGAAAGCCCCGGGCUUAACCUGGGAAUUGCGUUUGAA
rnacentral:rRNA from 1 species